GCUCUACCAUACUUAUUAACCCAUCUACACUCUUGAAUUUAUCCGAUGUGGGAUUCAUGUGAAAAUAUCUCAACAAUCUCCACCUUUCACUUGAAUACCCAUCACAAGUAUCAUACUUGAGUAUUCUUAUCAUUAAUCACACCUUCUUUGAAUCCUUCAAGAGCUCUCUGCUCGACUCUAAUACUACUCCACCAUGCCAGCAGCAAACGCGUCUCAGCAGUUUUUCCUAGAGCCAUCUGAGCCCUGCUCCACCCGAUUCAAAUACUUCACCUUUGAGUCCUUCAAGUGCUUUGCUUGACUCUAAUAUUACUCCACCAGUAACUUCCCUAGAGCCUUCCUAAGCCCCCGCUCCACCCGACUCAAAUCAUCCCGUGCUCCACCUGAUUCAACUCUAUUUACUCCACCCACGAGGCCUUGCAAAUUUACCCUCGCACCCCCCUCGCACUUUAGAGUUGAUAAUUGGACUUGAUUUGCUCCACCCACGAGGCCUGCGAAUUUUACCCUCGCACUUCCCUUGCACCUUGGAGUUGUUCUUGGGCCCAUCGAA
rnacentral:lncRNA from 1 species